GGUAAGAUGGCUGAGGGUUAAGCGGCGGAUUGUAGCUCCGAGUACAGAGGUUAAAGUCCUCUUAUUACCA
rnacentral:tRNA from 1 species